rnacentral:rRNA from 1 species
GUGGGGAAUUGUUCGCAAUGGACGAAAGUCUGACGACGCAACGCCGCGUGGAGGAUGAAGGUCUUCGGAUUGUAAACUCCUGUUGAUCGGGAAGAAUUCCACCGGGGUGAACAGCCCUGGAGGUUGACGGUACCGGUUGAGGAAGCCCCGGCUAACUCUGUGCCAGCAGCCGCGGUAAUACAGAGGGGGCAAGCGUUGUUCGGAAUUACUGGGCGUAAAGGGCGCGUAGGCGGCCAACUAAGUCAGACGUGAAAUCCCCAGGCUCAACCUGGGAACUGCGUCUGAUACUGAUUGGCUCGAGUUCGGGAGAGGGAAGUGGAAUUCCAGGUGUAGCGGUGAAAUGCGUAGAUAUCUGGAGGAACACCGGUGGCGAAGGCGGCUUCCUGGACCGACACUGACGCUGAGGCGCGAAAGCCAGGGGAGCAAACGGGAUUAGAUACCCCUGUAGUCC